rnacentral:rRNA from 1 species
AUUGAACGCUGGCGGCAUGCUUUACACAUGCAAGUCGAACGGUAACAGGCCGCAAGGUGCUGACGAGUGGCGAACGGGUGAGUAAUGCAUCGGAACGAGCCCAGUCGUGGGGGAUAACUACUCGAAAGAGUAGCUAAUACCGCAUACGAUCUAUGGAUGAAAGCGGGGGACCGUAAGGCCUCGCGCGAUUGGAGCGGCCGAUGUCAGAUUAGGUAGUUGGUGGGGUAAAGGCUCACCAAGCCAACGAUCUGUAGCUGGUCUGAGAGGACGACCAGCCACACUGGGACUGAGACACGGCCCAGACUCCUACGGGAGGCAGCAGUGGGGAAUUUUGGACAAUGGGCGCAAGCCUGAACCAGCAAUGCCGCGUGCAGGAAGAAGGCCUUCGGGUUGUAAACUGCUUUUGUACGGAACGAAACGGCUCUGGUUAAUACCCGGGGCUAAUGACGGUACCGUAAGAAUAAGCACCGGCUAACUACGUG